rnacentral:rRNA from 1 species
AUUGAACGCUGGCGGCAUGCCUAACACAUGCAAGUCGAACGAGUGGCGGACGUGUGAGCAAUGUCUGGGAACCUGCCUUAUGGAGGGGGAUAACUACUGGAACCGGUAGCUAUUACCGCAUACCAUCAGAUGUUCCCAGAUGGUAUUAGCUUGUUGGUGGGGUAACGGCUCACCAAGGCGACGAUCCCUAGCUGGUCUGAGAGGAUGACCAGCCAAACUGGAACUGAGACACGGUCCAGACUCCUACGGGAGGAAGCAGUGGGGAAUAUUGCGCAAUGGGCGAAAGCCUGAUGCAGCCAUGCCGCGUGUGUGAAGAAGGCCUUCGGGUUGUAAAAUACUUUCAGCGGGGAGGCGUUACCCGCAGAAGAAGCACCGGCUAACUCCGUGCCAGCAGCCGCGGUAAUAC